UAUCUCAAACUCUGUCAUGGUGAAAUUCAGCUGUAUUCUAUGAAUGAAACGACUGUGUUGAUGGAGCGGAAUAAUUUUCUGCAAUUAAUACCUCAAUUCUGAAUCUUUUCUAAACAUAAACAUAUUGUAUGGCCUCAGAGUUUGUACCUGAAAUUGGCAGCUGCUGUUAUUUAAACUCUUCUUCUGGAUUAUGUUUUUGAUAUUUCACUACAUCCAUUUGGGAUUCACCAGACUGUGGUAAUGUUACAUGCACUGCCAGAUUGACGAGGAUGCAAUCUCACAAUUGCUGACUGCAAACAAGAAGUUAAGCUGAGGGCCAGAGUGAGAUACACAACAUGUGGGUUUGACACUGCAGCAUGAACAGGGUCACCAGUGCUGUAAGGAGAGAGAUUAUGAGAUGAGAGGAAAUCAUGCUAACUUGCAGUAAAAACUCCACAACCCACUUCACAUACACAAUUAAUAAUUAGCUGCUGAUGUGUGGGAUGAUUUAGUUUCAAGCCAAACUAACACAUUUCUGCCAUUUGUACUUUUCAGUAUGUUUCAAGUGAAUCAGCUUUAUUGAUUGUCAGUCAUCUGUCGGUGCCAAAAUCAAUGCUUUUUCUUGUUAUAUAAUAAUAAUUUUAUUUAGUUUUGCCACAGACCUAGUGCAUUCAUGUGCAAUAUAUUUCAAUUAUUACUUUAAUUUGAACUGCUUUAUAUUUUCUGACCAUGACCGAUAUGAAUAAUGCCAUAUCUGUACUCUGAAUGUGAUUUCAUGAACAAAUCAAAUUUGUGAUUGUAACCUGAUAUCAUGUGUCAAGGCCUCAAAGUGAAGGGUCAUUUCUCAGGCACAGGAACUAGAGUAAAAGUUUUAACUGUUCAAUAAACUACACAGUGACUGCACUCACCAUGGCCGGAUUUACCAUUAUGCUUGAUUGGGCUGCAGCCCAUGGGUCCCCACCUUGUAGGGGACCCCGCCUUUACAAGUUUCUGUUUGUUUGAUUUGUUCAGUUAUAUACCAGUCAGAAAUUAUUAGAUGCAUUUACACUGUGCACACGAGGGCUAACAGCUUCGCCAAUCAAACAGCACAAACUGGUAUUUAUUAUUAUUCCACAUAGAAGAAGGACAAACAUACUGCAUCUGCAGCAAUUAAUUUGUGAUCACAUAGCUACUUUACACAGCUCCAUUAAUCCUUCAGCCCAAAAGAGCACAUAUUUAGAAAGACAAUGAUACAUUUUCAUAUGUUCACACCUCAUUUCUUUACAGAGGAUGAUUACUGAUUCUAUAUUAUAUUAAUGUUCCACUAAAUUAUGCGAUCUGAAGAGUUUUGAGUGCUCUAUCCCAUCUCACUGCCA